CUGUGGGAGCUGGCACAAGAGUAGAGCCACUGAUGAGACCAUGAAACCUCAGGAAACCUGCCACACACCCCAUCGAAAAAUUCAAGAAAACUGAGGCUCAGAGAAGUCAGUCAACUUGCCUAAAGUCACAAAGCUGCUCUUCUGUACCGACAUCUGCAAACCCUGUUUUAAAAGAAGAGCCAAGGGCUUCCCUGGUGGCGCAGUGGUUAAGAAUCCACCUGCCAAUGCAUGGGACACGAGCCCUGGUCCGGGAAGAUCCCACAUGCCAUGGAGCAACUAAGCCCGUGCGCCACAACUACUGAGCCUGCCCUCUGGAGCCAGCGAGCCACAACUACUGAGCCUGCAUGUCACAGCUACUGAAGCCCACGCACGUGGAGCCCGUGCUCCGCAACAAGAGAAGCCACUGCAAUGAGAAGCCCGCACACCGCAACGAAGAGUAGCCCCCGCUUGCCGCAACUAGAGAAAGCCCGCGUGCAGCAAGGAAGACCCAACACAGCCCAAAAUCAAUAAAAUAAAAUAAAUUUUUUUUUAAUUUAAAAAAAAUAAGAGAAGAGCCAAGUAUUGUGAACACAUGUUCAGGGACCCUGGAGGUCUGAGAGGAGGGAGUCAAAACCUCAAGGUGGCUGGAGAUUUGGCUGGGGAGAGAGGAGCUGACACCAGGUCUGGCCACAGAAUCUGCGGGACCCAGUGCAAAAUGGAAAUGUGGGGUCCUUUGCUCAAGAGCUGCUAAGACUUGCCACCACGCCAACCAUUACAAGAUGCAUAAUAAGUUGCUUCAACACUUAGCUACCAGAGACUCCCGAUUCCCCGCUGCUGCCAGACACGUAUCCCAAAUGACUUAGUUGAAUAUUCAAUUCUUGAAUAAUUUA